GGAGAGUACAGUUCAGUAGUAGAGCACAUGCUUAGCAUGCAUGAGGUUCUGGGUUCAAACCCCAGUACCUCCA
rnacentral:tRNA from 1 species